rnacentral:rRNA from 1 species
AUUGAACGCUGGCGGCAUGCUUUACACAUGCAAGUCGAACGGUAACAGGCCUUCGGGCGCUGACGAGUGGCGAACGGGUGAGUAAUGCAUCGGAACGUGCCCAGUCGUGGGGGAUAACGCAGCGAAAGCUGUGCUAAUACCGCAUACGAUCUGCGGAUGAAAGCGGGGGACCUUCGGGCCUCGCGCGAUUGGAGCGGCCGAUGUCAGAUUAGGUAGUUGGUGGGGUAAAGGCUCACCAAGCCAACGAUCUGUAGCUGGUCUGAGAGGACGACCAGCCACACUGGGACUGGUACACGGCCCAGACUCCUACGGGAGGCAGCAGUGGGGAAUUUUGGACAAUGGGCGCAAGCCUGAUCCAGCAAUGCCGCGUGCAGGAAGAAGGCCUUCGGGUUGUAAACUGCUUUUGUACGGAGCGAAAGGGCUCCCUCUAAUACAGGGGGCUCAUGACGGUACCGUAAGAAUAAGUACCGGCUAACUACGUGCCAGCCGCCGCCGUAACAC